GAAGAGGAAGGAGGCCGCAGCUUCGCGCCCCGCCUCUCGCUUGGCGGGCCUGAGAGCGGAGGGGGCGGGCCAUGGGGGGUCUGGACGCAGUCACGGUGUCCUCCCCGCAGUCCUCCCGAGUCUCCGAGGAAUGCUAAUGUCACCCGAGGAUGCUGGGCGAAGCGCUGAGCCGACCUUUCCGUUAGGCUAAAGCUCUGAAUUUUCAAACCCAGGAAUCACAGGGUCCGGGUCAUCGACUUUGCUAAAUAAUGCCUGGAAACCUGUUGCAGUCUCCUUUGAGAAAGCUGGUUUUAUGGUACCUGAAGGGCACUGGCCGUGCAAGGCCCCUAAACCGGGUCACAGAUGUGGGAGAGACUAACUCGGGUGGCUCUCGCUCUUCUGGCCUUUCCCUGAGGCUCGGUCGGGACCAGGAACGAGGUUCCAAGUAGCUGGAUUCAAAGUAUUCUGUUCUGAGGACUGGCAGUGCACAAGGAAGUCCCCGGCCCCACCCGUAUGCGGCAUAAGGAAAUGUUGAAAAGACUGCCCGGGUCAAUAAACCUGGACGUGGCAAAUUUCAAAGGCAGUAAUUCAAACACAGGACUCUGCUUUGAGUGAUGAAGAGGCCCUGAAGCUGCGGAGAGAUUGCACAAACCACGAUAAUGGCCAGCAUGGAUGGAGGGAGCAUCUGAGUUGUGCGGCGCACUGUGCUACAUCUCAGCUAACUCUAGGAGGUAAGUGUGUUUGCUGUGGUAAAAUACAUAUUUGGUCUUCAUUUCCGUUUUCCUGGCAUUCAGUUUCUAAAAUGCUUAGAAUCACUGCAGUGAUGUCUUUUGUAUGAUAAUGAGUUCACUGUUGGCUGGCAGCCCUUAGGUGGCUUCAGGGUGGGGACUGAUCAUUGUGAAGACCAAGGCUGGAUUAGAGGGCUGGCACUUUCAGUCCCAUCUCCUAACCUGCAAGGAGGGGAGAGAAGCUAAUGGCUAAGUUGAUCACCAGUGGCCAAUGAUUUAAUCAAUCAUGCCUACAUAAUGAAGCCUCCAUAAAAACCCAAAAAGGACUCUGUGCAGAGAGUUCCAAUAACUGAACGCGUGGAGGUUCAUGGAGGGUGACGCUUCAGGGUGGGCACUAAAGCUCUGAGCUUCUUCUCGUAUACCUUGCCCUGUACAUUGCUUCAUCUGUAUCCUUUGUCGUAUCCUUUAUAGUAAACUGGUAGUCCUGAGUAAGGGGUUCCCUGAGUUCUGUGAGCCACUCUAGCAGAUUAGUGGACCUAAGAAGUGGGUCAUGAGAACCCCAAUUUUUAGCCAAUCAGAAGCACAGGUAAAAUAACCUGGGGCUUGCAAUUGGCAUCAGAAGGUGGAGGGGUAGACAGUACUGGGGACUGAGCCCUUAACCUGUGGGAUCUGAUGCUAUCUCCAAGAAGACAGUGUCAGAAUUAAAUGGAAUUGAACCCAGCUGGUGUCCCCUGCAGAAUUGAUUGCUUGCUUGUUGGUGGGGAGAAAUCCCUUGCAUAUUUGGUCACAUAAGUCUUCUCUGUUGAUUGGUGUUGUAUUAGAACAGAGGAAAAACAAUUUGAGUUUUUCCAUGCUCAGUAUGAUAAUGAUCCUUAUUUCGUAGCGUCAGAAACUAAGGAUUGAAAACAUUAAUAAACUUGCCCAAGGCCACAUAGCUAGUGGGCUAGUUAUGGUAGCUAUUAUGCUCGUUCAACUCCCAUUCCAUAUUCUAUUUGGAAAAAUUAGAGUGCUAAAAGCCACAUGUCCCAGACCAUUUGCAUCUCACAUACAGGAAGCAAAUUGAGCUUUGUCAAUUAGAUGUGUUCCUGCUCAGUCUGGUAGGUAGAAGUGAAACAGAAGCCUUCUUUCUGCUUUCUGGUCCAACUGACAUGACAGUUGGUGGCAGCUAGAUUCCAAGUUUGGGUCUAGUCACUAUUUUCGUGGGCAUGAGAGCCACUUGGGUUGGGGGAGAAGGAUGGCAGCGGGAGUGAUUUUCUGAAUUCUGGCCUUUAGCUAUGGUGGUACUGCCCUGACAUCAACAACCACUGAUUGCCCUCUGAGUUUUCUUCCUCUGUCUCAUAAAUAUUUUUUUCAACUGAUAAUUGUAGAUUAAAAUGAUUUUUAAGAAAUGAUACAGUGACAUAGUUGUGUCUUCAAAUACUCUAGUGCAAUAACACAAGCAGCAUAUUGGCAUUGAUACAAUGUACCAAUCUCAUUCAGAUUUCCUCAGUUUUUGUACUCAUUUGUGCAAGAGUUAUGUAUAUUU